UCAGAGGGGGGUAGAAUNCCACGUGUAGCAGUGAAAUGCGUAGAGAUGUGGAGGAAUACCGAUGGCGAAGGCAGCCCCCUGGGAUAAUACUGACGUUCAUGCUCGAAAGCGUGGGUAGCAAACAGGAUUAGAUACCCUGGUAGUNCACGCCCUAAACGAUGUCAAUUAGCUGUUGGGGCACUUGAUGCCUUAGUAGCGAAGCUAACGCGUGAAAUUGACCGCCUGGGGAGUACGGUCGCAAGAUUAAAACUCAAAGGAAUUGACGGGGACCCGCACAAGCGGUGGAUGAUGUGGAUUAAUUCGAUGCAACGCGAAGAACCUUACCUGGUCUUGACAUGUACGGAAUCUUCCAGAGACGGAAGAGUGCCUUCGGGAGCCGUAACACAGGUGCUGCAUGGCUGUCGUCAGCUCGUGUCGUGAGAUGUUGGGUUAAGUCCCGCAACGAGCGCAACCCUUGUCAUUAGUUGCCACCAUUCAGUUGGGCACUCUAAUGAGACUGCCGGUGACAAACCGGAGGAAGGUGGGGAUGACGUCAAGUCCUCAUGGCCCUUAUGACCAGGGCUUCACACGUCAUACAAUGGUCGGUACAGAGGGUAGCCAAGCCGCGAGGUGGAGCCAAUCUCAGAAAACCGAUCGUAGUCCGGAUUGCACUCUGCAACUCGAGUGCAUGAAGUCGGAAUCGCUAGUAAUCGCAGGUCAGCAUACUGCGGUGAAUACGUUCCCGGGUCUUGUACACACCGCCCGUCACACCAUGGGAGUGGGGGAUACCAGAAGUAGGUAGGCUAACCGCAAGGAGGCCGCUU
rnacentral:rRNA from 1 species